rnacentral:rRNA from 1 species
UACGUAGGUGGCGAGCGUUAUCCGGAAUGAUUGGGCGUAAAGGGUGCGUAGGUGGCAGAUCAAGUCUGGAGUAAAAGGUAUGGGCUCAACCUGUACUGGCUCUGGAAACUGAUCAGCUAGAGAACAGAAGAGGACGGCGGAACUCCAUGUGUAGCGGUAAAAUGCGUAGAUAUAUGGAAGAACACCGGUGGCGAAGGCGGCCGUCUGGUCUGGAUUCUGACACUGAAGCACGAAAGCGUGGGGAGCAAAUAGG